GUCCCCGUUGAACCGAGCUGGAUGGCCGGCAUGAGAGAGGCAGCGAGGGGCGGGGGGGCGGAGGAAGGACGACGACAACAACAACGACAACUACCUCAUUUGUCCCGGCAGCUGCUCUCAGUAAAUUAUCCCGCGACACACAUUCAACAUGACGACGUGUUUCUGCCUCUCAGUCUAUAACUAUUGUCGCCUUUCGCUUUGUUUAUUUUUUUUAAUUAUUUAUUUUCCCUGUACACCCGAGUCCAGACGAGACACCGUGCAGGAAAUACAAAGGAGCUGAAGUUGGACGAGCCUCGGAGGAACUUGAACUUGACAUAUACCGGUCUGCAGAGGACGAAAGACGACGCGGAGCUGUGACGCCAACAUGCUGCAAACCAGAGAGGAUAUGUGGACAUACUGUGUGCAGCUUCCGAGAGAUCUGGCACAAUGAGCGGCGGAGAUUUCAGCACUUCACUCCAGAUAGCUGAUGGCUGUGGUGUGUGUGCCUGCUCCCUCAAAGACUCAGUGGGCUCGCCCGCCAUUGGAAACCGAAUUUCCGAAUUGGACCCAACAUUCAGGAGGAGGAAAUCUGAGAGGAGGUGACCUGACAGAGCUCCAGAGGAGGUGAUCAGGUGAAGCACAUGUGAGAGAGGGAGUAUUUUUGAGUUCAUUCACCCCCACCCCCCACCCCCCCAAAAAAAGGAAACAUUAUUAGCAAAAAUGCUAUAGGUAACUAGGGGUGAAUUAAAAGAUGUAACUCAAUGUGCGGUAACGCGCCCUCACAACUAAACCUUGAUAUCACAAAUCACAUCACAGUUGCGGAUCUGUCCGAAAAAAAAUCGCAAUUGCUGUACAUUGUUCCCCCAAAUUGUUUAGCCCUAGCUGCCAUUAUGACCGUGCAGCUGUGUGUGUGUGUGCGGCAGUAUCGUCCAAUUGUUUUGAAGCAUUUUAGUUACUUUAUAAGUAAGAAUGUCGACAUAAUGUAAAUAUAUAGACUAACACAGUGAUGGAGUAAUAAUGCUAUAAUAUUCGUUACCUUUGUACACUGGA